GAUGAACGCUAGCGGCAGGCCUAAUACACGCAAGUCGAACGGUGUCUUCGGACAUAGUGGCGCACGGGUGCGUAACACGUAUGCAACCUACCUUACAUUGGGGGAUAGCCUUUCGAAAGGGAGAUUAAUACCGCAUAAGACAGUAGCUGGGCAUCCAGCAGCUGUUAAAGAUUUAUCGAUGUAAGCUGGGCAUGCGUCCAAUUAGCUAGUUGGUGAGGUAACGGCUCACCAAGGCAAUGAUUGGUAGGGGAACUGAGAGGUCAAUCCCCCACACUGGCACUGAGAUACGGGCCAGACUCCUACGGGAGGCAGCAGUAGGGAAUAUUGGGCAAUGGACGCAAGUCUGACCCAGCCAUGCCGCGUGCAGGAUGAAGGCGUUAUGCGUUGUAAACUGCUUUUAUACAGGAAGAAACGACUCUUGCGAGAGGCAUUGACGGUACUGUAUGAAUAAGCACCGGCUAACUCCGUGCCAGCCGCCGCAGUAAGAC
rnacentral:rRNA from 1 species